rnacentral:tRNA from 1 species
GGCGUAGCUCAGUUGGUAGAGCACCGGAUUCCAAAUCCGACGGCCGGGAGUUCGAGUCUCUCCGCCC